AUUUAUAAAGGGGUCAAGUAAUUUUAUUUCUUACAUACAAAAUAAAAAACAUAUAUGACUCAAAUAAUUAUGUUUUAUUAUGCUUUGAUCGUCUUUCUUUCAUUAUUUCUUGUUGUAACGAGUAGAACUCGCAUUCCUUGUGUUUCUGAUGAUGGUUGUCCAAAGUUCACUUAUCCUUCAUUUGUGAUAUGUAUUUUCAAUUUUUGUGAGAUAUGGAGAUUGCAGUAACAAUUAAGUCUUCAAAUAAUUAUGUUACAUUUAAGAAUAAAAUUGUAUUUGUAUAUCUUAAUGUUGUUCUUUUAUAAUUUACAUUAAAAAAAAUUGAUUUUUA